rnacentral:lncRNA from 10 species
CAUGGACACAGGAAGGGGAACAUCACACUCUGGGGACUGUUGUGGGGUGGGGGGAGGAGGGAGGGAUAGCACUGGGAGAUAUACCUAAUGCUAGAUGACGAGUUAGUGGGUGCAGCACACCAGCAAGGCACAUGUAUACAUAUGUAACUAACCUGCACAUUGUGCACAUGUACCCUAAAACUUAAAGUAUAAUAAUAAUAAAUAAAUAAAUAAAUAAAAAACCAAAAACAAAAAUGCAUUAUCAUCCUAGCUUAGGGGUGUAUUGUCACUGCGCAGGCUCUUUUGUCCAAGACACUGACAUUUUCCCCAUUUUCUUUGCCUGAGACUUUUUUAUUUAUUUAUUUAUUUUUUUUUGAGACAGGGUUUUGCUCUGGUUGCCCAGGCUGGAAUGCAGUGACAUGAUCUCUGCUCACCGCAACCUCUGCUUCCCAAGUUCAAGAGAUUCUCCUGCCUUAGCCUCCUGAGUAGCUGGGAUUACAGGCGCCUGCCACCACGCCCAGCUCAUGUUGUGUAUUUUUAGUAGAGACAGGGUUUCACCAUGUUGGCCACGUUGGUCUUGAACUCCUCGUCUCAGGCAAUCCACCCUCCUUGGCCUCCCAAAGUGCUAGGAUGACAGGUGUGAGCGACCUAGCCCGGUCUGCCUGAGACUUUUGGAACCUACAUGUACACAUGGGUUAAAGAUCAUUUUGUUUUCUUAGUGUCCUCUUGAACAUGUCCCAGUACAAAUGUCUGGAAACAAAAAACGUGGGUCAUUCGGACUCAUUUUUUCGUUUUACCAUGUCUAAUUACUUUUACAAAGUUACUGGUUUUUAGGUAUGUUUUCAGCAUAUUAAUAAAUGUGUGGAUGAUUGUUAUGACAGAACAGCUCCAAAAAGAUUUUAAAUGCUAAUGACUGUCAAUGUUAAAAUAGGCAAGAGUUAUCAUCAUUUAUUUGAAGAAAUUUCAAACCAGGCGCGGUGGCUCAUGCCUGUAAUCUCAGCACCUUGGGGGGCUGAGGUAGGAGGAUUGUUUGAGGCCAGGAGUUUGAGACGCCCUGGAAAACAUAGUGAGACCCCAUAUCUACAAAAAAUUUACAAAAUUAGCUAAGCAUAGUGGUGCAUUGCUGUACUCCCCACUACACAGGAGGCUGAGGCGGUAGGAUUGCUUGAGCCCCAGGAAUUCGAGGCUAUAGUGAGCUAUGAUUGCACCACUGCACUCCAGCCUGGGAGGCCGUGGUACUCUGUCUCAAAAAAAAAAAAAAAAAAAGAAAAUCAUGUGAGGUCUUCUUCUAGGGUUGCAGACAAAGGGUUGAGGACUUUUCUGCUUAAUUAAAGCAAAUGUCUCCUCCAUAGAUAUAAACAGAGUAGUGUACAUCCACUCCACCUGCUGGCUUUGAAGUUAUGGGAUUCCUUUGGAAAAGGGAAAAUGAAGGGAUAUUCACAUGGUUGCAAAAUGUGUGCAUGCAGCGCAACUUUUUGUUUUGCAUAAUUUCAAAUGUACACGAAUAAAGGCUUCGUAAAAUGCAAUAUUCCUGGGCAGCUGAGAAACCCUUGUGCCGAAUUCCUAGUCAUGUUGCGAUUGCUCUCUGGUCCAUGGCAGUUGAAGAAAGACAGAAUAAAUAAGCCAUGUAUUCUAGGUGUUGCAGAUUUGAAUUCAGACUCCUCUAUUGGCCAUUUUUCCUCCCUUCCAACUUGAAGGCUGCUUUCUUCUUUUUUUCUUGUUCUUUUUUUUUUCUUUCUCUCUCUCUCUUUUUUUUUUUUUUUUUUUUUUUGAUGGAGUUUUGCUCUUGUUGCCCAGGCUGGAAUGCAAUGGCACAAUCUCAGCUCACUGCAACUUCCACCUCCCGGGUCCAAGUGAUUCUCCUGCCUCAGCCUCCCGAGUAGCUGGGAUUACAGGCAUGCGCCACCACACCCAGCUAAUUUUGUAUUUUUAGUAAAGAUGAGGUUUCUCCCUGUUGGCCAGGCUGGUCUCGAACUCCUGAGCUCAGGUGAUCCGCCCGCCUCAGCCUCCCAAAGUGCUGUGAUUACAGGCGUGAGCCACCACUCCCGGUCGGCUGCUUUCUUUCCUUCCUGCCUCUCUCAUUCUUUUCCAUUCUUUUUAAGAGCCAAUCUGGCUUCUGCUUCCUUCAAAACCGAUUUCUUAUUCAGGCUUUCAAAUAAAUCCAUCUUUUAAACUCAAUUUAUUCAGGUCUGUACAACAUGACUUACCCUUCUACAUGGUGUGCUGUUUCACAAAUGAUGUCACGUGUGUUUGUAAAUCCUGCCUCCCUGAAUUAGAAAAUUCGUGAAGGCAAGAAUGGCAGAGAUGAUACAUUAAAUAUUCUCGGCCUCCACCUAAUUAUUAUGUCUCAAACUCUGCGCUAUUGAUAUUUUGGGCUGGAUAAUUUAUUUAUUUAUUUAUUUUCUUGCGACGGAGUCUCGCUUUGUUGCCCAGGCUGGAGUACAGUGGCGCAAUCUUGGCUCACUGCAACCUCCGCCUCGCGGGUUCAAGCGAUUCUCCUGCCUCAGCCUACUGAAUAGCUGGGACUACAGGCGCAUGCCACCACGCCCAGCUAAUUUUUGUGUUUUUAGUAGAGACGGGGUUUCACCAUGUUGACCAGGAUGGUCUCGAUCUCUUGACCUCGUGAUCCACCUGCCUCGGCUUCCCAAAGUGCUAGGAUUACAGGUGUGAGCCACUGCGCCGGCUGAUAAUUUCUUAUUUGUAAGGGGUUGUUCUUUGUAUUGUAAGGUGUUUAGAAGCAGCUUGGCCUUAUUCAGUAGGUGCCAGUGACACUUCCCCACCAGUCAUGACAAUCAAAAAUGCCUCCAGAGGGGGGGUGCAGUGCCUCACACCUGUGAUGCUGGCACUUUGGGAGGCUGAGGUGGGCGGAUCACUUGAGACCAGGAGUUCGAGUUCCAGCCUGGCCAACAUGGUGAAACCCUGUAUCUACUAAAAAUACAAAACAAAUCAGCUGGGUGCAGUGGCUCACGCCUAUAAUCCCAGCUAUUCAGGAGGCUGAGGUGGGAGGAUUGCUUGAACCCAGGAGGUGGAGGCUGCAGGGAGCCGAGAUCGUGCCACUGCACUCCAGCCUGGGCUACAGAGAGAGACCCUGUCUUAAAAAUAUAUAUAUAUAUAUU